UGAGAGUAGUGGACAGAAGGGAU
rnacentral:piRNA from 1 species